GGAGUCGGCCGGACAGUCGCGCGAUGCGCAAGCAUUUCGAGGAAAGUCCGGGCUCCAUAGGGCAGGGUGCCAGGUAACGCCUGGGCAGUGUGAACUGACGGCCAGUGCAACAGAAAGCAAACCGCCGAUGGCCGCGCAAGCGGAUCAGGUAAGGGUGAAACGGUGCGGUAAGAGCGCACCGCAUGCGGGGUCAACGCCGCAUGGCAUGGUAAACCCCACCCGGAGCAAGACCAAAUAGGGGAGCUAUGACGCGGCCCGCGUCGCUCCCGGGUUGGUCGCUUGAGCCUGACGGCGACGUCAGGCCUAGACGAAUGACUGUUCACGACAGGACCCGGCUUACAGGCCGGCUCCGCAC
rnacentral:RNase_P_RNA from 1 species